CCACUCUCUUCUUCAUAUAUGAUUAGCCAAUUUUUGAUUGGUCAAAUUCCCUAUUUUCAUAGAUUAUUCUCUUUCUUAGGUAAAUCUUUCUUGCUAAAUAGCAAUACUAUUUCAUAUAAUAUAAUGAGUUGCUGUUAACCUUUUUUCAUUUUCUAGCACCACAUAUUUGUAUGUCAAGUUCAUAAAAACUCAACCUUCUCAGAAGUUCCAGCAAAAAUAGACGAU
rnacentral:lncRNA from 1 species